GAUGAACGCUGGCGGCGUGCCUAAUACAUGCAAGUCGAGCGAACGGACGAGAAGCUUGCUUCUCUGAUGUUAGCGGCGGGCGGGUGAGUCACACGUGGAUAACCUACCUAUAAUACUGGUAUAACUUCGGGAAACCGGAGCUAAUACCGGAUAAUAUUCUGAACCGCAUGGUUCAAAAGUGAAAGACGGUCUUGCUGUCACUUAUAGAUGGAUCUGCGCUGCAUUAGCUAGUUGGUAAGGUAACGGCUUAUCAAGGCAACGAUGCGUAGCCGAACUGAGAGGGUGAUCGGCCACACUGGAGCUGAGACACGGUCCAGACUCCUACGGGAGGCAGCAGUAGGGAAUCUUCCGCAAUGGGCGAAAGCCUGACGGAGCAACGCCGCGCGAGUGAUGAAGGUCUUCGGAUCGUAAAACUCUGUUAUUAGGGAAGAACCUAUGUGUAAGUAACUGUGCACAGCUUGACGGUACCUAAUCAGAAAGCCACGGCUAACUACGUG
rnacentral:rRNA from 1 species